AGGAGUAGAAAAGCGGCCAUAUUUAUAGUCAGUCAAUCGUUGCUCAAGAAUGAGUAUUAUUGUUGCUGUGACGUAAUCUCCAUUACUAUCGUCACUUUCUUGUGUCCACCAUAUUACAUCGUACGUCGUCCAUUAAUUUGCAAAUUGUCGCUGAAUUCGGCUUAAAACAGCCGAUUUCGCCCUACUAAGUUGAUGGGCUUGUCUUUUCCUCGGCGGUACUGGUUGUCCGUGCUGUUCCCGACCUUUGUGACCUGGGCGAUUGUGUCCGAUCUUCUGCGAACUCAACGCUACAAGCAAAAGAAGCUUGAAACCAGCUCCUCGUCUGAACUGCUUCAGUAAAUUUUUAAAGAUGAUCCCCGACU